CCUGAAGGGGCGGUGCUGAGGAGGGAGCGCUGAAUGCACCGCCCUCCUGGGCAGCCCGAAGGUAGUGUUUAAUCUCGCUUUCUGUGAAUUCCUCCCAAUGUCCAACGUGCCAAGCAGCCACGCAGUCCCAACCCCUUCCACAAGCCCAGCAAAAAGAUGAGGAGUUUUCUGCUUCCAGCACCCCAGAUGUCCUGCUGAAACCACAGCCCUGCAAUGAGGUGUAGAAUUACAUUAUAUGGAGUAAUAAGAAGGAUACUCUUUAAAAACAAGAUCACAGUGUGGGAAAAGUUGAGACAAGAGGCUGGUAAAUUUGGAGAUGCACUAAUUAAACCUGUAAAGUCUGUAAAGAAAAUUAUUUAAUGACAUUUUAGAAUUGUAACAUGCACAGUCACU